rnacentral:rRNA from 1 species
UACGUAGGGGGCAAGCGUUGUCCGGAAUCAUUGGGCGUAAAGCGCGCGUAGGCGGCCCCGUAAGUCCGCUGUGAAAGUCAAAGGCUCAACCUUUGAAAGCCGGUGGAUACUGUGGGGCUAGAGUCCGGAAGAGGAGAGUGGAAUUCCUGGUGUAGCGGUGAAAUGCGCAGAUAUCAGGAAGAACACCGGUGGCGAAGGCGGAUUUCUGGACCAGUUCUGACACUGAUGAGCGAAAGCCAGGGGAGCAAACAGG